GACGAACGCUGGCGGCGUGCUUAACACAUGCAAGUCGAACGCUGAAGCUUGGUGCUUGCACUGGGUGGAUGAGUGGCGAACGGGUGAGUAAUACGUGAGUAACCUGCCCUUGACUCUGGGAUAAGCCUGGGAAACUGGGUCUAAUACUGGAUAUGACAUGCCACUGCAUGGUGGUGUGUGGAAAGGGUUUUACUGGUUUUGGAUGGGCUCACGGCCUAUCAGCUUGUUGGUGGGGUAAUGGCCUACCAAGGCGACGACGGGUAGCCGGCCUGAGAGGGUGACCGGCCACACUGGGACUGAGACACGGCCCAGACUCCUACGGGAGGCAGCAGUGGGGAAUAUUGCACAAUGGGCGGAAGCCUGAUGCAGCGACGCCGCGUGAGGGAUGACGGCCUUCGGGUUGUAAACCUCUUUCAGCACGGAAGAAGCGAGAGUGACGGUACGUGCAGAAGAAGCGCCGGCUAACUACG
rnacentral:rRNA from 1 species